rnacentral:lncRNA from 1 species
CUCUCUCUCUCUCACCAUUUUCAGCUUUUCCUUAUUUUGGAGCCUAGGUUUUUUCUCUCUCCCACGCCUUCGUUGUUUUCGCUAUCCGUCCUUCACGUCUUUGUCUCGUCGAUUAUUCACGGCCGUUUUCUUCUCGGAAAACUAACGAUCUCUGGUGAGUUUUUUUGCAGUUCUUGCCGUGUCUCAUUUCAAUUUUUUUUUUCGUUGUUUGAGUGUGGCUUUGCGAUGCGGUUUGAUUUUUGGUUUCAGGAAAAGUUAUCGAUGCGAUCUAAGGUGUUUUGGUGAGUUUUCUGCUUUUCUGAUUGUAUGUUGUUUGAUUCUUUUUUCGUGCUUUGGGUCUGCCUUUCUGAUCUGCUUUCAUAUUUGGUUUUAGCAAAAGAAGUUGUUUGAAUUUUGGCCUUUCUGUCUGCAACCUUGCAAGCUGUUUGCGAUCAAGGUAUUUAACUUUUUUUUUUUUUUUUUGGUGUUGGUUCUUUCUCCGAUGAUGGUUUGUUUGACUGGUCAGAAACUGAAAUAAAUAAAUUAUGAGAUUUAAACUGAAUUAUGCUUCAUUUAAUUAAAUCUUUGGUUUUGUUGGGUUGUCAUUGUUUGCCCUGUUCUAAACUUAUAUGUCUUGGGUUGUCAAUUUUUUUCGGUUGUCAUUUUUUCCUUUUAUUUUCUGCUGGAAGCACUAUUAUAUUCAUGCUAAUUUUGAUGAAAAGGAAAUGUGUGUUUAAUUGAAGGAUUAAAUAUGUAUGAAGCAGGACAUAGUAUGCUAUAAUACAUUUUUCCUUUUAUUCUCUGUUUCUUCGUUGUCAAUUUCAUAGGAUUUGGGUUUGGGCAGAUCAAUCCUGCAAACCGCUUCAAUAACAUGUCUUGGAACUCAAUUGGCCACUAUCAGCGCAACCUCCAUAUUCUUGGUAAAACACCAGAACCAAUCAUCUCAUGGCUUGAAAAGGAGGGAAAGACUAAUCCAGGGCCAUGACAUAGCAUUAACUCAUCAGACAUAAUCAACGUUUGGAAAUGCUUUGUCUAUUUUUUUAUUUGAUUAACAAUUCAAACUUAUCUUUAUAUUUAUUAGUAUCUUGAUUUCCUUGACAAUUCAACCAUAUCUUUUUUGUGUUUCUGUUUUUCUGGGUGUUUAAUUUUAUUUGAAUUUCUUAAUUUGUUCAAAGGAUGCUUUGGUUAGUGGCCAUCUUAUUUAAUUAUUUUUUUUUCUUUUGGUUUUUUAGCACCAAUGGUAUUGGUGAAUGGUGAAGAGGUUUGUAUGGGUUCAUAUAUCUUAAACAUGUAGUGAGAAGUGAGGGUUUUGUUUUAGUAUUUUAGAUAAUUUGAGGAACAUGUAGAUACUAUGAUUUGUGGUUGCUUUCUUAAACCAUGAUAAAGCAGUCCAUGUAAUUUUAACAUAGAUAUAAUUUUUUAUCUAAUGCAUGAGUAUAUGAAAUGUUAAUACGAUAAGAUUUAAAAUGCAAAGAGAGACAAUGAACCAUGUUUGAUAUUUUGUUUGUGUUGGUUGUUUUAAAUUUGAGCUUUUUUGAGUUGGAUUUAUGUGUUUUGUUUAAGAUAUCAUUUUUGGUUUAUGAAUGGUUUGCCAGUGCAAAAGUUUGCAUAUUUUUUUAUGGUUGGAUUCAUGGGUUGUCUUAAGCUUUGAAGUUCUUAGUUUUUAUCAAGAAAUUUAAUUUGGGUUUCAUUUAUUUGUGAAACUAGCACUUUUUUUGUGAAGAUUUUCAGUAAAUGAUUGCUUAUUUGGCUUUAAAUUUGAUCUCUUUAAAUUUCCAGGUUGUCCUAGACUUUUUCAACAGUGCAGAGUUGUCUUCGGCAGAACUCGAUAGCAACUCUAGGUCAGUCUGAAUUGCCAGUAGAUAUGAUUUUUCUUUAAUUUAUUCAUCUUCUUUCGAAUUUAUGUGCAAAUAUUUUUGAAGCCCAAGUGUAAAGUAUAAGUGUGGGUGUGGACACCCAAUAUGACUUUUACAUGGUGUUGCUAUCUUCUAUUUGACAGAAUUAUAUUGGGGACUGUCUAAAUUUUGGUUUUAGCUGCAGAUGAAGCGAAAUCAAAAGGUUAUAAAUUAGAGGUAUAAUUUAAUUAUUAUAUUUGAUGCAUCAUUUGAUUAAAUGAAUAUAGUAGGAACAUUGAUUUGACGUAUGUGCUUUCGUAAGGAAAACUAAAUUUUGUGUGUUUAUAAGUGUGUAUAUACUCAAUAUUUAUUUUAAUUACAAUGGAAUUGACUGAAAAUUAUGGAGAAUUAGUGUCAGUUUACACACAUAAAGAAAUAGAAGGAAAAUGUAAGUAAAGAAAAAUUAGAAUGUAAUACAUAAUAUCUUUAUCUGUGUGUGUGUGUGUGUGUAAGGGAUUGAUGACUAAAUGUGCUACGUGAAGAGAUUGCUUAUUUCGUUAGUUAAGGGCAGCACUUGAUAGAAGCAUAACCAAACCCAGGUAAGAGUCACAUUUUGGUUGCCUUCCUAUCCUUAUUUUUUGUAUUUUUCACUCAGCUCUAUGUUGUUAACUGCAAAUUUUGGUAUUUUGUUCCCUUUAGUUUUAUCUGCUAAUUAUUGUUCUACGAAUUGUAUUCUUCAGUUAAUUAAUGAUUAACUAAAAUGUCCCAAAAAAAAAAAAAAUCAAGCAUUACAAUGUUCGGGAUGAUAAUUUACAUCCAAUAUGAUCAUUAGCCAGUCGAGAACCUAAUUUGGGAAUUGGGUUUUAAAGUUUUAAUAGUUUUGUUGUGUGUAAAUUUCUUGCUUUGCCUACCAAGAAUCUAAAAACUAAAGGCUUAGUUAUUUUCCCCAAAUGGUUUUCAAUUUGUUGUUGGUAAACAAGAGCUACUGGACUAUUAUGCACAGGGGAAUGGAAGGAAAGAAAAAAUUCAAGCUUUUAAUACAAAUUGGAAAUUGAGAGACACUAAACAAACGAUAGGUAAAAUUGACCACUACUUUCUUUCCGUUUAAAUAUAAAUCAAUUGAUUAAGUCUGUGUUUUAAAAUGAAGUUUCAAUUGUUUUCAAAUUCUAAUAACGAUCUCCUACGCUUUAAGAUAAUCUAUUUAGAGUUUUGAUCCACUUUUAAUUACACAGAAUUUCAAUUUUUUUUCAUAUAAAGUUUCCAUUUUGCUUGAGUAAGAGAAGAAGCUUUAAUUUGGGUUUACAAUUUUUCCCUUUGUAGAUUUUCAAAGUAGGACCAAGCUUUAAAAAGGCACUUCAGGUUCUGGAAUUAUUAUUAUUAUUAUUAUUAUUUAUUUUUUGUUAAGCUUUGUUAUAUCAGGUUCUAAAUUGCGCAUACCAUUUCUUUAAAUUAGAGAAAAUUAAGCACGAUCUUGCUUAUAUACAUAUUGUUAUUUUAAGAAACAAUUUUGUUUGUCUUUUCUAUAAUAAGAACAGCAAUUUACUUUUGGGUUUCGUUCUUAACUGAUUUAUGAAUUUAUGCCCAAGUCUAAUCUACUCCAAAGACAGGCUGAGCAAAAGGAGGAACGUUUAAGCAGGUAUGUGUACUAUGUGUUUUAUUCGUUCUUAACUUCAUUGUUGGUUUCUGUACUAUUUUUCUGUGUCUAAAAAUUUGAAAUAAAUAUGAUCUAUUCACUAUUGAUUCUCAUUCCAAGUUUUUUCCACAGAAAAUAAAAUAACAAAUAAAUAUUUUGUUUCCCUUCUUCUACUUUGUUCUUUUGCAGCAAAACAAGCAUGAUUUUGUUGGUACUGCUUAUUUAGGGAAGCAACGGUUUCAUAUUGUGAACUGUUUUGCGUGUUUAUCACUUUAUUCUUUAUGGUUUCAAUUUCCUAAAUGAAGUUUGACAUGUAUGGAAUUUCACAAUUUACAACCAUAAACUUCAUUUCUCCCACGGACCUUUUUUGUUCCUUAUUGUUGAUAGAGUUGUAAAUAAAUUUGCACAUGUAUGUAAAUAGUAUUGUCUACUGUAUAUACAUAUAUAAUUUUUUUAGAAUAUCUAUGUGUUAUACAAUUUUCAUUCCCGCAGCAACGCGCGGGCAUCCUUGCUAGUCUUGUCUAUAGCCGAAACUUUGUUUUGCUUGUGUAAUCUUAACUUCCUGGACAAUGCUAAACCGUAAACAUUGUUCAGUUUAAUAAGAAAUAAAAUUGCAGAAUAUGUGUUUUGAAGCACCUAAAACCAGGUGAUGGAUACCUUUUCAAUGAAAAAAAGGCAACCUUUUGAAGCAAAGCAUGAUGGUUCUAUCCUUUUUUUUUUCUUGACAAACAAUAGUGUUGCUAGGUUCAAUUGUUAGUGUUCGGGAGGAGGUGAUGCGUAGAGAUCGAACCCGCACCAAGGUGCAUAGGCAUGAUUGUUUUCCGCCACUGCGGUCAAGUGUCAUCUGAAACAUUUAUAUCCUUUAAAGCUUUCUAGUUAGGAAUAACACCUAUAUUUUUCCUUACAAGCAGGUGAUGGAUACCUUUCAAAUGAAACAAUGGCAACCCUUUUGAAGCAAAGCAUAACAUUUCUAUAAUAGCUGACACUUGUCAAGCUUAGAUAUAAUGAGUUAGUUAGUAUUGUUGUGAUAAGAAGUGGUAGUUGAAGGGUAUUUUGUAAUAGUAUAGAAGAUGAAAAUACUAUAGAACCUAAAAUGUAGUGCUCUAAGAGGAAGUAUAUUGUUGAUAAAGAAAUACAAUAAGCCUUUCUCUUUCUCUCUCUCUCUCUCUUUCUUCCUUAAUUCGAUAUCAUCUCUUAGUUCCAUAGUUCUUCCAUUGUUGCUAGUAUUUUGUUUCCUCAGAGAUUAAUAUGGUAUCAUCGCCGGUGUUUGGCUUGCUGCUGUAGUCGGUCUUGAAGGUUCUUCCGCUGCAAUCAUUGAAAGAUCUGGGUUAUCGUUGCCUAAGAGGGUUUCUCGAAGAUUUGUUUUUGAUCUGGGUUUUGCGAUGCGUUCUUGGUGAAUCUGCUAUUCUUAGGUGAUAUCUAAUUGGUUCUUGAGAUAAAGUUCUAUUGCGAUUUCUAUGAUUGAUCUAUGAGUAAUUGAUUUGUUGAAGUAAUAUGAUGUGUUUGAUGAUGAUUGUAUUUGUGGUGAAGUUUGGGAAUUUUUCUUCUGAUGGAUGAGUUCUGUGUUCUAGAUUGUAAUUGUGUUCAAUAAUUUUGUUGAAUCUUGUGUGUUCCAGAAAGUAUCAGUCUUUCUUGGUAGAGUUUGUGUGAUUUCAAGAAAGUAUCAAUCUUUCUUAGGUGUUGGGCUAAUUCAAGAAAGUACCAGUCUUUCUUGUUCAAACAGAAAGUAUAUGUCUUUCUUUCUUGUUGAUAAAAUUUGAAGAGUGUCAAUCUCUUGGUAAACAGAAGAAAUCAAAGAGUGUCAAUCUCUUGGUGAAUGAUAGAAAUCGAAGAGUGUCAAUCUCUUGGUGA